CCUGGGCUGCAGGAGGAGGGAAAAUCACUCUAGAAAGCAGUGGUGAAAAGGAAGGAGGGCCAAGGCUGGAACUCUGAGAACAGCUGUGUUUGGAAUGGUGGUGGGCAGGACAGGAAUGGAGCAAUCCAGAGAGAAGAUGGUCCAGAGACUGGGACAUCAAGGAAAGUGAGGAGGAGGGCUUUUCAAGGAGGGGUCUAGAGACAAUAUUCCAUGACAAGGAAAGGGCUGGAGGUACAGCAAGGAGAUUUUAGGCCCUCGGCAAGGGGAAGGGGAGAAUGAAUGGGAGAGGUGGGUCCCUAAGGGAUGGGGAGAGGCAGGGAGGUGGGAACCUGCAGGAAGGAAGAGGCUGGAGAUGAAAGGAUAGAGCAGACAGGGCAGAAGCAUUGGAUCCACAUGGAGGAGGAAACAGGGUGAGAAUCCAGAACUCUGGGAGGGCAGCCAACCCGAACGCUGGUAACAGCCGAGCACUGGUCAGUACGGCUGUCCUGCGCCCACGUGGUGCGUCAGGCACGGCGCCUGCGUGGAUGACCGAGCUCUGGGCCUCGCGGAUCUCUCCAUUUUCCAGAGGUGCUUCCUACUGAAGACACCCACGGCACUGCACACAGAGGUGCUCACCUCACUGCACUUCAGAGGGUAGGUGUGUGUGUGUGUGGAAACCUGGUGACUCGUGCCCAGACUUGAAUGGGGCGUUGGGUGAUUUUGCCGAUGGAUGAAAACACCAAGGCCCUGUGUUUGCUCCAGUUUCACUUCAGCACCCUCUGGAUUUACAGCUUGGCCCAGGUCUGUCGUCAUCGCGGCCCAGAUCCUGUGGCAUGACAGUGACUAGUAACCUUCUCCAUACCAGACUUUGAACACACACAUCCUUGAGGUAUGUUUUAAACUCUGUACCUAUUUAUAAUAUAUGAAUCAUGUUUCUUCUCAUAAUACUAUUGACUGUCUCUGUGAAAAUGGGAACCACUGGAAUAACUGAAACCUCUAAAAUAGGGAUAUUUGUGCCUGUAAUAAGUGCUUUGACACAGUGUGAUUCCUUUGACAAUCUAGAUUUUGACCUGGUCUAUUUAAACUCUGCUGGGAACAUAAUUUUCACAUCAAACUUCCACUGUAAAUUGUAUUAUAAGUAAAAUAUGUAGGUUCUGCCUCCACAUUAAUUUUUUUGCCUGGCACAUAAAUCGUUGUUUAAGAUUCAAAGGAAUCUUAUUGGUCAAAUACAUCUAAUAAUGGGGAUGAUAUAAUAGAAAAAUUUAUAUCCAUAGAGAAUGCACCUUAAGCAGUUUUAUUUUAUAGCUGAUAUUUUUAUUUUUGCUUGGGUGUACGAUUCUUGUUUGUCAAGACUCCACUUUCUUUGUUAAAAUGUAAAAUGCAUAUUGGGCAAACGCUCCAGGGCAAUUUGCAUAAAAAGUGAUGACAAAGAGCAAUUAGUACUUCAUUAUUAUGCAGUGAAAUGCUACUUUGCUCGAAAGUGACUGUAGUUUCUCCCCCCCACCACCCCCUUAUAAAUCUGGUACAGCAUUGUUCUAAAAAUAGUACUUAAGAAACCUCUGUUUGUAAAUCAGGGUCUUUGACUUUCCACUAGAAAUCCGGGGAGAAAAAUGCAAGCACUAAAUAAAGUUAUUACCCCAGAUCUUUAUAAUGAAAAGCAAGCACCAGAAUUCUCUUAGAUAAGACAGGUCAGAAGAUUUUUAAUGUCUCAUCAAAUUGGAUCCAUAUCUUAUUUUACCCCUUGGGAUCAGCUUUCAAAGCAGACUCAGAUCAUACAUUGAUAGCAACAGUCGCCUCCCCCCAGCACACACUCAGAAACAGGGUCAUGCCACACACGGCUACACUGCAGAGAACAAACAGUCCCUAGGUAUCUCUAGUUAGGAAGGCUUGAUUUUUGAGUACAGAUUUCAUUACCAUGAAAUUCCUUCAGGGCGAAAAAGAAUUGCAUCAAAGAAGCAGUGUGGGGAGGCAGACUUUGUAAAUAUUCACCCCAUCACCUGUGUUACCAGGCUCUGCCUGUCCUUAAUUUGCCAGGAAAUGCUUUUUUUGUUGUUGUUAAAAAAAAAAAAAUUUCUUGUGGAGCUGACAUAUUAUCUAAAACUGUGUAAAUCCAAAUGUGCCAGCAGUGUGUGUGUGUGUGUGUGUGUGUGCGCGCGCGCAUGCGUGCGUGCGUGGUGACCAAGUAAUUGGAUACUGGCAGGAUGAGAAAGAAACAUGGGGACUACCAAACCUUCAGAAAAUGACCUCAGGAGGCUGGAGAUGGACAUGGAUUUCAGUAAAUUUUUUUGGAAGCCCCAAAGCAGACUUGGGGAGGAGUUGGAAGAAGGGGUGGAGGUGGGAGCUCAGUAAACACAGUCUUGUAUUUGGUUCUUUCCCUCCUGGUCCUCAGUGGGCCAGACUGGAUCCAUGCAAUCCCUCAAACCAUACCCUUGGUCUGCAGGGCUCCUAGAUGGCUGACCCAACCUGCUUUACUUGUAUCCUAAGGGUCUCUUUACUCUGGGAAGCUGGGAUUAGCCUCAUCAUCUGCAGUUUAGGCUCAGCAGCUCAGGGCUGUAGGGCCUGUCUCAGAGAGGAAAGGGACGUGGGGAGGCCCUUAAGCACACUGCUUCAAGCACAAGUAACUUGUGCAGUUGGAUGUCCUUCCCCCAGAUUUUGUUUAUUUUCUUCUUUGUUCCUCUUCUUAGACCACCAGUGAAAAUCCCAUGAAGUCACAUAGCUCAUACCAUUUCAAAGGUGUACUGUCCAACCUGGAGAUAACUUGUGAUCAUUCUACAUUCCAUCACAGAUUUAUUAUUCAUACGAUUUUCCAUUAAUUUUUAAUGUUUCCAAGUUCCUAGUUAUUUAACAUAUAAAGCAAUUGGCCAGACAUCUUCAUAUAGCUAUGAAAAGUGGCUCUAAAGUCCCUUUGCCUAGCAUCUCCAUCUAUUAACUAGCUGAUGAGACAGUACUGCUCUCAGCCAUGGUCAGGACCCCUGCCUUGGGUUCCCAUACAGCACAGAUCCCCAUGAGUUGGAUGGUUUUCCGUGAAAGAAGUCCCCAGCCUGCAAUGCGAUUUGGAUGAGGUGUCCAAGCCAGAACCCAUUUCUCUCCUUCAGGGCACUCUCCCACUCUCUAUCCAGCCUAUGAAGUUGACCAGAUAUCCAGGAGAGCUCUAGAACUCACACCCAUGGGAUCAUCCCAGACAAUGCCAGACCUAUGGAAUCAGGCCUAAUGCAGGAGAUCAGCCUGGGCAGAUAGGUUCCCACUGACACUGGCCAGCAAGUUAUUUCUUUUGUAAUACUGCAUGACAAUGGACCUGUAGAAUGGUGCUGAAUUGCUGAUUUCAGGAAAUUCUCAUUCACGAAGGAUGAAAAAGACAAGAAUUUUUACAUUGGGCAAUAAAUAAGUACCCGCUGGUUCAAAAAUCUUCACCAGUAAAUACCUUAUAUGGGUUCAUUUUCUAAUAAAAUCAUUUAUAUAUACAAAACCCUGCAAAAUACAUUUGCCUAUGGCUCACCCUUCCCAG